CCCCUCUCAGGAUCACGCCUGGAGAGCUGAGUACUCUACCAGUCUUGACUAUGGGAGGGACAGUCAAGCAGAGGCCUACCCAUUCCAUUCCUAGCUUGGGCAGUGGCUAGCUAGUGGAAGGCAAUCUGCUACAAGU